GGAUUUCAGUUCAUAGAAGCUGUACAUUUUUCCUACCCGCCGCCGUCUUUGACAAUUUGAUAGGACAAUUGUUGUGUAAGUCCCCAAUGCUAAAAAAAAAAAAUCAAAGCUCUACCACAAUCAUUUCACCACAAUUAGCCGGAUUCCUGUUCUCGUGUUUGAAAACUGAAUCGACUAUCAUUACCUAUUCUAGAUUCUACAGCGUGUGUUGCAUUAGGAGCAAGUUCGAUGUAAGAAUGCUACAACGGCUAUGACAGAUAAGAUGACCGAGGUCAUUGGGACAAGGGACGUCCUGGCGUCGCUACUAUAUAUGGAGCCAAAGUCGAUGCCGUUGUCAGGAUACCAACCGCCAGUUCCAGUUAUCGUUCCAAUUGAUCCCUGUCCUGGGUAGCAAGAGCUUCCAUCUCCGCCACUUGACACGGGAUUCGUCACAGUCCCACCGCUUGACCCGGGAGCAGCAGGAUUCGUCACAAUCCCACCGCCGCUUGAGGGAUUGGUCACAGUCCCGGCGUCACUCCUGCUGAGUAAACAGAAGAAACAUAAACCAGCGAAGGAAAU
rnacentral:lncRNA from 1 species